UACGGAGGGGCCGAGCGUUAUCCGGAAUCAUUGGGUUUAAAGGGUCCGUAGGCGGGACAUUAAGUCAGGGGUGAAAUGUUGCAGCUCAACUGCAGAAUGGCCUUUGAUACUGGUGUUCUUGAGUUAUGUUGCUGUGGUCUGAACAUGUGGUGUAGCGGGGAAAUGCAUAGAUAUCACAUAGAACGCCGAUUGCGAAGGCAGGUCACAAAGCAUAUACUGACGCUGAGGGACGAAAGCGUGGGGAGCGAACGGG
rnacentral:rRNA from 1 species